CUUUUAAAAAAAGUAAACCAGUGCUAAUGAUACAGAGAUUAGCAUGGUCCCUGCGCAAGGAUGACACACAAAUUCGUGAAGCGCAAAUUCAU
rnacentral:snRNA from 1 species